rnacentral:rRNA from 1 species
UAUUGGGUUUAAAGGGUACGUAGGCGGAUUUUUAAGUCCGUGGUGAAAGCCUACAGCUUAACUGUAGAACUGCCAUGGAUACUGGAAAUCUUGAAUUCAGUUGAGGUAAGCGGAAUUUAUGAUGUAGCGGUGAAAUGCAUAGAUAUCAUAAAGAACACCUAUUGCGAAGGCAGCUUGCUGGACUUGAAUUGACGCUGAGGUACGAAAGCGUGG